rnacentral:misc_RNA from 1 species
AACAUCGCGCACCUGCGGGAACCUGCGGAGGGAUCAUUACCAAGCCGUGGAGGUCGCCCUGAAAGGGGUGGAUCUCUCACCUGGCCACCCUUGUUUACUUAAACACCUGUUGCUUUGGUGGGCCCGCUGUGAGGCCGCCCGGGGAACUCUUUUGAGUUUUUUGGGCCUGUGUCCACCAAGGUUUUAACUAAAUCUUCAAGGUCUUAUAUGCUGUCUGAGUGGGAAAACAUAAUUUAAAAA